CGAGAGGAAAGGAAGGAGCCAGGUCGGGAAGCGGCUCUUCCCAGGGAGCUUUGCAUCUGCCCGGAAACGGACAACCAUCAGGUGUGACUGGCUUUCCCUGGGACCCUCAGUUUUGUGUCGCGCGUGAUUCUGAGAAGGACUUUCCUGCCUAAAUGCCUCUGCCCACCGGGAGCAGCCCCUUGUCCCCCUACCGCAGAUGGGGAAACUGAGGCCCAGAUCGGGGUCAGGGAGCGGGGUCCCCACCAGGCCAGGCAGGAGCGCCGUUCACUAGGUGUUUAUUGGGUGAAACAACAGUGGGGCUUUGGGGGGAGCCUGGAGACCCAUCUGGGAGGAGCCGCAGAGGGCCUUCCCCCCUCCCUGCCCCAGCCUCCGCCCAGCGCAGGGAGCAGUGUCUGAGGGCCGGAGCCUCCCGCAGGUGCGGCCGGGCCCAGAACGAGGGCGGUGCCGGCGAACACCUGUUCUGGGUCACGGCCUGUAACUAGGACAGAGUGAGGGAGUGAAGGAAGCAGGAAAUGGUGCCGGAGGCCGGGGGCGCCUGCUCUUACUCAGGCUGGUCCCGGCUGGGAAAACUCCGGCUGGGAACCGCUGGGAGCGGGCAAGGGCCCGGGACGGAGCCGGUCUGAGGUGAGAGGGGAAGGGCCCGGCAGCUCCGGAACUCGGGUCUGGCGGCUCCAGAACUCAGGCCCGGCAGCUCCAGAACUCGGGUCUGGCGGCUCCAGAACUCAGGCCCAGCAGCUCCAGAACUCAGGCCCAGCAGCUCCAGAACUCGGGUCCAGCGGCUCCAGAACUCAGGCCCGGCAGCUCCAGAACUCGGGUCUGGCGGCUCCAGAACUCAGGCCCGGCAGCUCUGGAACUCGGGCCUGGCAGGUCCAGAACUCAGGCCCGGCGGCUUCGGAACUCGGGUCUCCUGCUUCUGCCGCGCCGGAGCCUCUGUC